CAGACUAACAGUGGAAGGUUUUCUUCCCCAUGUAACGCAAAUGCGGGUUAGUUCCAACAAAAAAUUUAGUUUGCUUGCCAGCGUAGAAAAUAUUUUAUUACUUUUUUUAAAAUGCUUUUGAGCAAGUACUAUAAAUUCUGAAAGGCGACUAAAAAAAAAAAAUUAAGGUCCUGCGCCCCCCUCCUCACCAAAAAAAAGUCAUUAGUAAUUUCGGUACCUACUAAUAACUAUAUUCCUGACCUUAUUUCUUCAUAUUACUAUGAACUUUUUAAUUUUUAUUAGAAUUAGAAAAUGUAAUUAUUUGUAUUCUAAUGUAAUUCAUUAUUAGACAGUUUUUAAGCAAAGUUGUAGUAUUCUGAUUUAGUUAUCUUUAUCUUUCAGUUCCGUCCUACUUCAGUUGGAUUUUCAAUAUAUUCAAGCCUUUCUUAAACGCCGUCACAUUGAGCAAAAUAAAAAUCUACAAAACAGAUGAAUGGCAAGAUGAGUUGUGGAAAAUCGUGGAUAAGGAUUUGGUCCCAGCUUUCUUGGGAGGAAACCGUACUGAUCCAGACGGAAAUCCUAAA